UGCUUAACACAUGCAAGUCGAACGGCAGCACGGUAUGUAGCAAUACAUAUGGGUGGCGAGUGGCGGACGGGUGCGUAACGCGUAGGAAUCUACCCUGAAGCGGGGGACAACCCGAGGAAACUCGGGCUAAUACCGCAUGAACUCGAGAGAGUAAAGCUGGGGCGACCUGGCACUUCAGGAGGAGCCUGCGUCCGAUUAGCUAGUUGGAGAGGUAAAGGCUCACCAAGGCGAUGAUCGGUAGCUGGUCUGAGAGGAUGAUCAGCCACACUGGGACUGAGACACGGCCCAGACUCCUACGGGAGGCAGCAGUGGGGAAUAUUGGACAAUGGGGGCAACCCUGAUCCAGCAAUGCCGCGUGUGUGAAGAAGGCCUUCGGGUUGUAAAGCAC
rnacentral:rRNA from 1 species